rnacentral:rRNA from 1 species
CCUACGGGAGGCAGCAGUGGGGAAUAUUGCACAAUGGGGGAAACCCUGAUGCAGCGACGCCGCGUGAGUGAAGAAGUACUUCGGUAUGUAAAGCCCUAUCAGCAGGGAAGAAAAUGACGGUACCUGAUCAAGAAGCCCCGGCUAACUACGUGCCAGCAGCCGCGGUAAUACGUAGGGGGCAAGCGUUAUCCGGAUUUACUGGGUGUAAAGGGAGCGUAGACGGUGUUGCAAGUCAGAAGUGAAAGCCCGGGGCCCAACUCCGGGACUGCUUUUGAAACUGUGUAACUGGAGUGCAGGAGAGGUAAGCGGAAUUCCUGGUGUAGCGGUGAAAUGCGUAGAUAUCAGGAGGAACACCAGUGGCGGAGGCGGCUUACUGGACUGUAACUGACGUUGAGGCUCGAAAGCGUGGGGAGCAAACAGGAUUAGAUACCCGAGUAGUC